GGAUGACCAGGAAGGAGAGCAGAUCUCUGGUGCCUGACUCAGGGAGAGAAGCUGCUGAAUGGGAAGUGGGACUGGAAGUGCUGGCAGAUGGAGCCUCCUGGAAGGAAGGGGGAACCAUGGAGUGACCUGGCUGGAGGGCUGACUCCUGAAGAGGCAGCUCUGGUUCCUCAAGCAAAAGGGGUCUGCGGAAUGAGAGGACAGUGUGGGAGAGACAGCCAGGGGAGAGUGCAAUGCCUGGCUGGAGCUUAUCCCCAGGAGGGCCAAGAGGUGGUGCCAUCAAAGUGCUUUCCUGACUUACACUGCAGAUGUAAAAGUAAGAAUACUGGAAACCAAAACUGAAGACAAGUUGAUUUUCUUCUCAGAAAAAGGGCCCGUGGUAGUAGCUCUUUCAUGUUCCUGACCAGCCAAACUGGUGUCUGCCCACAGAUCUUGCCCUGAACCCAGUGCACCCUGGGACAGGACAUGAAGAUUGACAACAGCUGAGGAGAACAUGGCUGGCCUCUGAGGUUAUGAGGCUCGCCUGGAUACGGGUGAAUACAUCAAGGUCAAGGUCACACAGCAGAUCAGUCAAGGCUGGAAUCCAUCUCGUCUGAUGAACUCGUCUGAGUUCUAUGCUAACAGCUUUAUGCAAGGCCCAGUUUUCCCCGGACUGGCCUUUCAUAAGUUUCCUGUAUGUCUUAGCGUCCAUGUCGUUACGCGUGAACUGGUCUAUAAUAGUUUAUGCUAUAAAUCACAGCUGUCUCCCAUGCUGCUUCCCAUGAUAUUAAGGGUACAGUCUCUGGACAUGCCAGUUACCAGGGCUUGGAUGGAGGUUGUGCUGUCUUCUGAUAUUGAUAGCCUUACAUUCUCUAUUAUGACGGUAGCUGUACUGGAAUCGCCGUAAUGACAAGUUAGUCGAAAGUUAAGGUUGAUCUCGGAAUUAGGGGACAAUAAAGAGACACUGUAAAAAAUGCCCCAGUGCUUCCAUUCGUAUUGUCUUUGUCUCCGUGUGCAUUAUCUCUUUAAUGACGCUAAUUCAGAUGGGCUCAGCUGCCAAGUAAAAAUGUGCUCCUAUCUACUAGCCUUACAAACUCACUCUGAACUGCUCGAGUCAUGCUGGGUUCUUUACUUUUUCUGCAUAAUCACCAGUAAUAAAUGUUCUGCUGGCAAAUGAUGUUCACAGUGGCACCUGUGCAAACCCAUUGUCUUCAGUCAAUGUACACAGGUGUAACUGAUUGGCGCUUAGUAAACUAUUCUGGGGGAGCUGCUUAUGAAGGAGCAGAAACUAUAUUGCUGUCAGCUCUCCAGUGCUAACAACAGCAAGAAGAAAUAACCAGUUUUUUUCACUAUAGAAAGAAGGGAAUAUGUUGAAUGCAGGUCACAUGGGGCCAGAUUUUUAAAGGGAUUUAGUGGAGAUGGGUGAAAUACUUGAGCCAAAACUUUUUUCCAUCAAAAAAUGCAGAUUUGGUGGCACUGGAAUGGGUACUUGUUUCACCAAAUUGCUUGUUUAAAAAUAAAUACAUAGCAUUUGGAAAACUCAGAAUGUUUUGAUUUUUUUUGUAUGCAAAAUGACUGUUUAGAAAUGUCCUUCAUUAUUUAAAAA